GCAAGGCGUGUGCAGCUACGCGCAAAAUCAAUUUCAUUGUCAUGCAAUGCACGUGCACUAGUCUACAUCUGCUCUAUCUUUCACAAACCAAAGGGGUUUGCUCAUUGCCGUGCACCGCUUACUUCUCGUAAACACGUUCUCAGCGCCGGUCCAACUUACCCUUGUUUGCCAGUAAUUUAACAUUUAAUGAC